AAUAGCCUUAGGACCUUAGUUUAUUGGAUUCAAGAUUACAAUUUCAAUAACAAAUUUAUCGAAAAACAAAACAGAACAUGUUUAUUAAUUUACAAACUACGAGUUUUAGGACAUAAAAUCCAACAUCCGUCACAUGUGGUGGACUAUGAACCAUUACGAUUGAAUGACAACUUGAGCUACGAGGAGAAACCUGUAGAGAUUCUCGCUAGAAAGGUAAAGACAUUGCGCUGCAGGGAGAUUGCAUUUGUGAAAGUCCUGUGGCAGAAUCACCAAUUCGAGGAAGCCACUUGGGAAUGAGAGGAUGAGAUGAGAGCCCAAUACCCGGAGCUUUUUCAGGAAUGAACUUUCGAAGACGAAAGUUCUUUAAGGAGGGUAGAAUGUAACGUCCCAAAUUUGUGUUCCUAUUAUACUUUCGGUAAUUUCUAGUAUUGAAGGGAAUUUUUGGAAUUUUGGAAAUUUAAUUGGAUUACUGAGUUGUAAUUACUAAUAAAAGGAUGUUUCAAUUUAAUUGUUUAAGUAGAGAAAAUUGUGAAAUUUGGACUUUUGUCAUUUGAAUUUAAUUUUUGAGUUAUUGUCAAAAAUUGAAGUCAUUUUGGGGAAAAGUGGCUAAGUUUUGAAUUGGAAGUUGUUGGAGAAACAAAAAAGGGAAAAAGAACACAGGUUGAAGGGAAGAAAUAAAAUAACAUAAAAUAAAAUACAAUUGAAUAAAAUAAAAUAAAUAUAUUAUUUUAUUUUAUUUAUUUAUUUAUUUUUAUUUUCUUAUCCCUUUCCCCUCUCUUCUUCUUCCCUCACGCGACCCCCCUACCUCUCGUUUUUGCUUCUCUUCACGCCGCCAACACCCACACAAUCGCUGCGACAAUCCGACGAGCGGAGGCACCGUCGAGUUUGCCAGAACUGAAGCCGUUCACAGCGUCGCUUGCCUCAGACACCGCCAAGCCCUCGUCUGCCAGGCACGACCGUCUGCUCCAGCCCAGCCACGCAUCAGAUCUGAAGGCCCCAGCCGUGAAUGUCUGUCGCCCAUGUUGUUCGCGAGCCUCCAGUCGUACGUCCUCUUAGAUCUGAAACCCGACUAUUCGCGUCCACCGUUUGUGAGCCCACCCAAUGCCGCUCGAAGCCGCUGCAUCACUUUCUUCUUUACGUCCUCUGUCCAGCCACUACUUAAGCAUCGUUCACUCUUUCCAUCACCGAAUCUAUCGAUUUGGGUAAGAUUGUGCUAUUUUAAUUGGAUUUCUUGGCCAAUGGUGUUUUGCUUCAAUCUAUUGAUACACAUUUGUCUGGGCUUUAAAAUCGAGUUUUGGAGAAGCUUUGAAGUUAAAAGUGUGCUGUCAAGAGGAUUUGGAAGUGGUUUCGUCAAGAUUUUGGGUAAGUUUUAGGGUAUUUGUUGAUCAUUUUUGGAUACCCACUAAGUAAUGGCUUGUUUAUUGAUUCAGUUGUGAUAUAAAAGGUUGGAAUUGAAGGUUCAAAGCAGCUAUCCAUCGAGAUUAAAGGUUGGAUUUGUGACUAGAGUUGUUGGGAUGUAUUGAUUUCGUAGCAUGAGGUGAUGUUCGGACCAACACACUUUGGGUAAGAUUAUUAUGAAUUAUUUGGUUAAUUUGGAUAUUUUAACUAAGAUCUUUUUAUUAAUUGUAAAUUUGGAUUAUGUUUAGGCCUGAUUCAAGAUUUAUCUAAGCUAGGAAGGAGAUUAAUUUGCUUGUCGCUUAGACAUAAUUUUGAGUAAAGAUAGAGAUUCACCGGCAAUUGACAAGCGAAAUUUGUGAUCGAGUCACUGGGACCAGUUUUAUGCUUCCGCUCAGGAGAUUUAGAUUUUUUUUCAUGUUUUUCUUAACUUUCAGUUUUGAUAUUUGAAACUUACUAUUAAGAAUUGUUUUCAGACUUAUUUAUUAUCAUUUA